GGAUAAGUGCUGAAAGCAUCUAAGCAUGAAGCCCCCCUCAAGAUGAGAUUUCCCAUAGCGCAAGCUAGUAAGAACCCUGAAAGAUGAUCAGGUUGAUAGGUCAGAGGUGGAAGCGUGGUAACAUGUGGAGCUGACUGAUACUAAUCGUUCGAGGACUUAACCAA
rnacentral:rRNA from 1 species